AGCUUUGUGCAGUGGCAGUAUCAUAGCCAGUGAGAUUUAUCCAAGGCUCGAUUAUUGCUAAACGGAAAAAAAAGAAAGCUGAGUCCCAGUGAGAGUUGUCUUCUGUACACAGGUCUAUGCAGGGAGCUUUGGGGAAGUAGUGGCUGGAGCCCUGAGGUGAGAAGGGAGGACAAUAUUUGCAUCUGGCGGACAUGCC
rnacentral:snRNA from 1 species